UUCUCUUCCUCACUCUUCUCUAAUAUAUAUAUAUAUAUACAUAUAUAUAUGUAUAUAUAUAUAUUUAAUAUAAAGAGAUAUAGUGAGCAGGGCCUUGUUAACCCAAAGGGAGGAGGAAGGGGGAGGGAUGGGAGAGGAGAGGGGGGAGGGGGAAUCUGCUCUCUUCUCCCCCCCUUGCUUUUCCCCCCUUGGAUUUUUGGGGGCUGGUGCAGUUUAAAGCAGAGAUUUUAAGGUGGAUUCUGCGAAAGUUGCGGGUCUGCUUUCAGACUUGAUGCAGACGCCACGAGUCGAAUGGUUUGUCUCCAAAGGGCAGUGCCUUCCUAUUGGUCAGUCGCCCCCUGACGUCACAGGCGCACCGCUUCUACUGGCGUGUGCGCUGCUUGCGGAGUUCUUCGCCUACCUUAAGCAACUACAAGCUCAGCCCAGAGCUGCAACCUGGGGCCGCUCAGAGCUAAAGGGGAGCAGCGGAGGAGGGAGGCGCCCGGUAGGCUGCAGAUGCAUCCCGUCGGAGCUCCAACCCCCGCAUCCUAGAGCCCUUGUUUCCAGGAUUGGAGACUCUGAGUAGCCUGGCUGGAGGCUGAUCUCUUUAAAUCCAUUUGCACCCUUUCAGGUUGCCUGUGUGCAGAAGCAGUAGCCCUAGCAUUUAAAGCCAGACCCCCCUCACUUGACUUUCCCCCUCCCUCAGGACCCCAACUCUCUACUCCCAAGGGAGCACCUUGGCACUGUGGGUUUUUCCAGAAGUACUUUAUUGAAGCCAUAGAGGGAAGAAAAACCCCUACAUCUGGGCUCCAUCUCAUAGCAGGGGUCGGGGAUAGUAAAAGAAAAAUCAGACCCUGCUCUGGCGAGGUUCCUGCUGUUUUCCUAUAGGCCCUAUCUCCUAUAUAUUGACCUCCCAACAGAGAAGGAAUAUCUCCCACCCCCCAAGAAAGCAGCAGCCUGUUCUGAAAGCGAAUCGUUGGAGGGCUGACAGUAAUGCAUUUUUUUUCCUAUUGAAAACAGAAGCUACUGUAAUGCUUUCAAAUAUAUGCAAAUGAUACAUGCGGUUAGUGGUUUGGCAAAUCUUGAUUACAAUAUAAACUACCCAAGUAAAAGUGCCUUCGUCCUAAAUUUGUCUCUCGAUUACAAUUCCAAUUGAUUUUAUUUUAUUGUCAACAUUGUUAAUGAUAAAAAUAGAGUCGUUUUACAGUUAUUUUUACUUUCUGGAAGGAGGCAAUUAGAGUUCUAAUCAGGAAUACACAAAAAUCUCCCAUGAUUAACUGCAGUACUUUGUUCAAAUUGCUGCUAUAAAAUUCAGAACAAUUUGCCUGUAAUGAUUAUGGACUGGGUUUAUUUUGGGAGGUGGAAUAAAAGUGGAUAUAGCAUAAAUUAUCCUCUAAUUAUACACCAGUGUCGCUUCAAUUAUCCUCUUAUCAAAAUGGUUGUCUAACUGCCGCAUUUAGUUUCAAUUCUUGCCUUUUUUUCUAUAAAAAGAACUUCAUACCUUGUUAUUAUUAAUCCAUUUAUUAUUUGCAAAGGGGUUUAUAUCCGCACAUCCAGGUGGUAGAACCACUUCUGUUUCAAAGAUGGACUGGGGAAAGACAUUAAGUUUGGAGCAGCUCAGUGCUACGGAUCUAGCCUUUCUCCCUCGGGUCUCCAGACUCACUUAGGUCCAAGCUGCGGAGCAGGGACAGCGGAACCCAGGCGGCCACGUUCAGGCCCAGCCACCAGAACCAGAGGGAAACCUACUCCCAGAAGACCAUCUCCCUGAUUGCUUUCCCACUGCUGUGGAGCCCCUCGAACACUGGUCCCCGGACACCAACUUCAAGAAGACUUCAUGGAUGGCUGUCCAGCCUUAGGAACCACAGUUUUCCCUCUACAUUUUCUUCACUCCAGUGAGGCUCUCAUCAGGGUCAGAUCAGUGAUGAACCAGCUGGACAACAGAUUGGAGCACUGACCUCUUAGAGUGCUAACAGUGAACAGUGUGGGAUCAGAUCCAUAGAAAGAUAAGGAGAAGAAAAUAUGCUAUGUGCAAGGGAGAGGGAUGGUUCUUAAUUCCUUAAAGGUUGAAAUCAAGGACCAAUCAAAAUAUAGAAGAAUGUGGUCUUGUUUUACUGCAGGACUUCUGUUUUGUCCAUACUGGAAUACGUAUUCUGGUGUUCCUGCUGGAUCAGGGCUCAGAGGCAAGACUAAGUAUUCUAGUGAUCCUCCUACUUAGCUUUUGUCCUUCAGUAAGAAACACCAACUCAUUAGUCUCUGUAUUACUUCUCUGCACUAUAGGUCUGCACUCUUGACCUGAGAGAUAUUGGCAAUGACUCUCUUGUAUGAUAAAGGUCAAUGAUAAGAGUACUUCAAACCCCCUCAAACUUUUUGUUUAUACACCAAGUGGUGACAUUGUGUAUUGAGCUAAUUAGAUCAAUGGAGUCACAAGUGAUACUGAACUCUUUAAAAAUAUUUGG